rnacentral:rRNA from 1 species
GUUGAACGCUGGCGGCAUGCUUUACACAUGCAAGUCGAACGGCAGCGCGGGGCAACCUGGCGGCGAGUGGCGAACGGGUGAGUAAUAUAUCGGAACGUACCCAGAAGUGGGGGAUAACGUAGCGAAAGUUACGCUAAUACCGCAUACGAUCUACGGAUGAAAGUAGGGGACCGCAAGGCCUUAUGCUUUUGGAGCGGCCGAUAUCUGAUUAGCUAGUUGGUGAGGUAAAGGCUCACCAAGGCGACGAUCAGUAGCUGGUCUGAGAGGACGACCAGCCACACUGGAACUGAGACACGGUCCAGACUCCUACGGGAGGCAGCAGUGGGGAAUUUUGGACAAUGGGCGCAAGCCUGAUCCAGCAAUGCCGCGUGAGUGAAGAAGGCCUUCGGGUUGUAAAGCUCUUUUGUCAGGGAAGAAACGGUAGAGGCCAAUAUCCUUUGCUAAUGACGGUACCUGAAGAAUAAGCACCGGCUAACUACGUG